ACGGGAGGCAGCAGUGGGGAAUAUUGGACAAUGGGGGGAACCCUGAUCCAGCGACGCCGCGUGAGUGAAGAAGUAUCUCGGUAUGUAAAGCUCUAUCAGCAGGGAAGAUGAUGACGGUACCUGACUAAGAAGCCCCGGCUAACUACGUGCCAGCAGCCGCGGUAAUACGUAGGGGGCAAGCGUUAUCCGGAUUUACUGGGUGUAAAGGGAGCGUAGGCGGCCGCGCAAGUCAGGUGUGAAAACCCGGGGCUUAACUCCGGGACUGCACUUGAAGCUGCAUGGCUUGAGUGCGGGAGAGGUAAGUGGAAUUCCUAGUGUAGCGGUGAAAUGCGUAGAUAUUAGGAAGAACACCAGUGGCGAAGGCGACUUGCUGGACCGCAACUGACGCUGAGGCUCGAAAGCGUGGGGAGCAAACAGGAUUAGAUACCCUGGUA
rnacentral:rRNA from 1 species